AUGCUAUGGUAAUGAAGCGAAAGCUAAGUGACCGCAAGGAGCUAGCACAGGUGCUGCAUGGCUGUCGUCAGCUCGUGUCGUGAGAUGUUCGGUUAAGUCCGCUAACGAGCGCAACCCUCGCUGUGUGUUACAAGUGUCACACAGGACCGCCGGUCUUAAGCCGGAGGAAGGUGGGGAUGACGUCAAGUCAGCAUGGCCUUUAUGUCCAGGGCUACACACACGCUACAAUGGUCAGCACAAUAGGUAGCCAAGCCGCGAGGUGGAGCCAAUCCUCAAAGCUGGCCUCAGUUCAGAUCGCAGGCUGCAACCCGCCUGCGUGAAGCCGGAGUUGCUAGUAACCGCAGGUCAGCUAUACUGCGGUGAAUACGUUCCCGGGGCUU
rnacentral:rRNA from 1 species